GUGGGGAAUAUUGGACAAUGGGCGCAAGCCUGAUCCAGCCAUGCCGCGUGUGUGAAGAAGGCCUUCGGGUUGUAAAGCACUUUUGUUGGGAAAGAAAAGCGGUCGGUUAAUACCCGGUCGUUCUGACGGUACCCAAAGAAUAAGCACCGGCUAACUUCGUGCCAGCAGCCGCGGUAAUACGAAGGGUGCAAGCGUUACUCGGAAUUACUGGGCGUAAAGCGUGCGUAGGUGGUUUGUUAAGUCAGAUGUGAAAGCCCCGGGCUCAACCUGGGAAUUGCAUUUGAUACUGGCAGACUAGAGUGCGGUAGAGGAGAGUGGAAUUCCCGGUGUAGCAGUGAAAUGCGUAGAGAUCGGGAGGAACAUCAGUUGCGAAGGCGGCUCUCUGGACCAGCACUGACACUGAGGCACGAAAGCGUGGGGAGCAAACAGGAUUAGAUACCCCUGUAGUCC
rnacentral:rRNA from 1 species